rnacentral:snRNA from 1 species
AGAUGUGAGGGCGAUCUCGCUGCGACAUCUGUCACCCCACUGAUCGCCAAGGUUGAUUCAGCUGAUCUGGCUGGCUAGGGGAUGUCCCUCACCGCUCCAUGUGAGUCCCUCCCGAAGCUGUGUGCUCGGUUGAAGAGGAUGGCCUUCCCCAAACAGAGACAGACCGGUCUUCAGUCGAGGGUAUAUGAGUAGCUAGCUGCACUCCCCUGCUAGAACCUCCAAACAAGCUCUCAAGGUCCAUUAUUUCCUCCAACUAAAGUGAUUUGAAAAAAAGUUUUUUUUUUUUUUUU